rnacentral:rRNA from 1 species
CGUACUUUUUGUAGAACGGGCCAACGAGUUACGUUAAGUAGCAAGGUUAAGCACUUAAGGUGCGGAGCCGUAGCGAAAGCGAGUUUUAACUGAGCGUUCAGUUACUUGACGUAGACCCGAAACCGGGCGACCUACCCAUGAGCAGGAUGAAGCGAAAGUAAAAUUUCGUGGAGGUCCGAACCCACGAGCGUUGAAAAGCUCGGGGAUGACUUGUGGGUAGCGGUGAAAUUCCAAUCGAGCCCGGAGAUAGCUGGUUCUCCCCGAAAUAGCUUUAGGGCUAGCCUCAAGGUGAGAGAUACGGAGGUAGAGCACUGAAUGUCCUAGGGGGUAUUGCACCUACCGAAGACUAUCAAACUCCGAAUGCCGUCAUCUUAUACUUGGGAGUCAGACUGUGGGUGAUAAGAUUCAUAGUCGAAAGGGCAACAGCCCAGAUCGUCAGCUAAGGUCCCUAAAUGUAAGUUAAGUGGUAAAGGAUGUGGGAUUGCACAGACAACCAGGAUGUUGGCUUAGAAGCAGCCACUCAUUCAAAGAGUGCGUAAUAGCUCACUGGUCGAGUGAUCCUGCGCCGAAGAUUUCCGGGGCUAAAACUUACUACCGAAGCUACGGCAUCAGUAAUGAUGGGUAGGGGAGCUUCCCAUACGGGUUGAAGCAUGACCGUAAGGACAUGUGGACAGUAUGGGAGUGAGAAUGUUGGCAUGAGUAGCGAGAUGUGGGUGAGAAUCCCACAGGCCGUAAACCCAAGGUUUCCAGGGGAAGGUUCGUCCGCCCUGGGUUAGUCGGGACCUAAGCUGAGGCCGAAAGGCGUAGGUGAUGGACAACAGGUUGAUAUUCCUGUACUACCGAUAACCGUUUGAGAGAAGGGAUGACACAGUAGGAUAAGCUAAGCACACUGUUGGUUAUGUGUGCCCAAGCAUUGAGGCAGUCAAAGUAGGCAAAUCCGCUUUGAUAAUGCUGGGAUGUGAUGGGGAGCGAAAUUUAGUAGCGAAGUAGCUGAUUUCACACUGUCAAGAAAAGUCUCUAUCGAGGUUAAAGGUACCCGUACCGCAAACCGACACAGGUGGGUGAGGAGAGUAUCCUAAGGCCAGCGAGAGAACUGUUGUUAAGGAACUCGGCAAAAUGACCCCGUAACUUAGGGAUAAGGGGUGCCACCAUCAGGUGGCCGCAGAGAAUAGGCCCAAGCGACUGUUUACCAAAAACAUAGGUUUCUGCUAAGUCGCAAGACGAUGUAUAGGAGCUGACGCCUGCCCGGUGCUGGAAGGUUAAGGGGAUCUGUUAGAGCAAUCGAAGCAGUGAACUUAAGCCCCAGUAAACGGCGGCCGUAACUAUAACGGUCCUAAGGUAGCGAAAUUCCUUGUCGGGUAAGUUCCGACCCGCACGAAAGGCGUAACGAUUUGGGCACUGUCUCAACAACAGACUCGGUGAAAUUGUAAUUCCGGUGAAGAUGCCGGAUACCUGCGACAGGACGGAAAGACCCCAUGGAGCUUUACUGUAGCUUGACAUUGGGUCUUGGUACUACAUGUACAGGAUAGGUGGGAGGCUUUGAAACCAGGACGCCAGUUUUGGCGGAGCCAUCCUUGGGAUACCACCCUUGUAGUACUGGGACUCUAACCAUAGGCCAUGAAUCUGGUCUUGGGACACUGUCAGGUGGGCAGUUUGACUGGGGCGGUCGCCUCCCAAAAGGUAACGGAGGCGCUCAAAGGUUCUCUCAGUACGGUCGGAAAUCGUACGUAGAGUGUAAAGGCAAAAGAGAGCUUGAUUGCAAGACAUACAGGUCGAGCAAGGAUGAAAAUCGGACUUAGUGAUCCGGUGGUUCUGCGUGGAAGGGCCAUCGCUCAACGGAUAAAAGCUACCCUGGGGAUAACAGGCUUAUCUCCCCCAAGAGUCCACAUCGACGGGGAGGUUUGGCACCUCGAUGUCGGCUCAUCACAUCCUGGGGCUGUAGUAGGUCCCAAGGGUUGGGCUGUUCGCCCAUUAAAGUGGUACGCGAGCUGGGUUCAGAACGUCGUGAGACAGUUCGGUCCCUAUCCGUCGCAGGCGUAGGAAAUUUGAGAAGACCUGUCCUUAGUACGAGAGGACCGGGAUGGACGUACCUCUGGUGUACCAGUUGUUCUGCCAAGGGCAUGGCUGGGUAGCUAUGUACGGAAUGGAUAAGCGCUGAAAGCAUCUAAGCGCGAAGCCAACUUCAAGAUAAGAUUUCCCACCGCAAGGGUAAGACCCCAGAAAGACUAUCUGGUUGAUAGGUCGAAGGUGUAAGUGCAGCAAUGUAUUUAGCUUAUCGAUACUAAUAGGUCGAGGACUUGACCAAU